AUGUGCUUGUCAGAGAACAUCUGUCACUUCCUGAGGUCUCAGAGUCAGACCGCCCCUCCACUGUCACCCAGCCAGGUAUUCAGAAUAUGUUUCACUCACCUGGAGAGUUGCAUCGUCUUGACAAACACAAGGCAAUUAAGAGACUUCCAGCUGCUCCUGCUGCUACUGUGUAUUCAGGGGGAGGGAGAAAUGAUGGCUGGCCUCUCCAAAGUGCCUUUGCUGGUAAGUAGCAGUGGAGAGCUGAGGCAACUCCCCAGAUCCUUCUGAUAAACGUGAAUGAUAUUUGCCCAAAAUAUGCUAUCAUAACUUCCAGCUAGAGGUAAAAGUGAGGCAUCUCCUGGGUUCGCCCAGAUUAGCUCAGUUCUUUACCACAGGCAUGGAGAAACUCAGUCUAAGCAUUUAAUUUAGCAACCACUUACUGAGUUCCUGAUAAACAAGAAAAAGGGUCUGGGCAGGUCAGCACUUUGAUUACAAAGACAGAUAAGUCACAGUCUUGAACCUCACAUGGUCUCUAGCUGGUUGGGCUAGGUGGGGGUGACACACCAUUUAGCACCUGCUCUCCUUAGGAAAAUCCUCUGUAUCUUAACCCUGCCCCUACACUUUUGCUUCACAGCCUGAUUUCUGGAAGGACUGGUUCACAUGCACUGCCACUUGGUCGCCUCCUGCUCCCACUCCCCCAGGUCCUCUGAUCCCACAUUAACUACCGCACUUACAUGCACAUUUUAGUCUUAUCUUACUGGGGCUGCAUAUUCAGCAAAGUAGAAGAUACGUAUAUACUAAAAAAAAAUGUAUCCAUCUGAAUUUCAAAUUACCUGGGCUUGUGUAUUUUAUCUGGCAAUACUGUCUCUUACAGGGCUUGUCGGCCAGCUCUAACCUAAAGACUGUUGCUUCCUUCCUCUUUCAUUUUUUAUUGAAGUAUAGUUGAUUUACAAUGCUGUGUUAAUUUCUGCUGUCAGCAAAGUGAUUCAGUUAUACACACAUGUAGAUAUUCUUCUUUUAAAAUAUUCUUUUCCAUUAUGGUUUAUCAUGGAAUAUUGAAUAUAGUUCCCUGUGCCAUAUAGUAGGACCUUGUUGUUUAUCCAUUCAAUAUAUAAUAGUUUGCCUCUGCUAAUUCCAAACUCCCACUCCUUCCAGCCCCCAACCCUCCUACCACACCCCCCCCACCGGCAACCACAGGUCUGUUCUUUAUGUUCGUAAAUCUGUUUCUGUUUUGUAGGUAGGUUCAUUUGUGUCAUAUUUUAGGUCACAUAUAAGUCAUAUCAUAUGGUAUUUGUCUUUCCUUGUCUGGCUUACUUCACUUUAGUAUGAUAAUCUCCAAUUGCAUCCAUCUUGCUGCACAUGACAUUAUUUCAUUCUUUUUUAUGGCUGAGUAGUUUUCCAUUGUAUAUAUGUACCACAUCUUCUUUAUCCACGUUCCUUUCUUCUUGAAGUGAUCUCCUGCUUUAGCAGAUGUAACCUUGACUGACAUUGUGACUCUCUCCUGUUCUUCUUCCUCUUGGUCCUUCCCUCAGUCUCUUAACUGUUGAGCACCCCAAGAGUUGCCGCCUCUGUUCUCCCUUACUCUUCCUAGGACACCUUCAAUGAGACCUGGCCUCAGCCCAGUGAUCCCACAUUGGUGAGUCUACUUCUAGCCUAGAAGCACACUUUCUGCACUCACUCCAAAUCCCUAGACCUCAAGGUCUCUUGGGCAAUUCCAAGAUGUAUCAUAGGUUCCUCAAACUCAAUAUGUUGUAAAUUUUACUCAUCCAUUCCAUCUCCUCCCUACUCCUCCCUAUCUCAGUGAAUUUGCACCAUCACCCAACUCCAAGGCAAGAAAUGCUGAAGUCACUCUCAAUUCUGUCCUCUCUGUCUCCCCACAUCCAAUUUGUCUCUAUGAAAUAUGUAUUCUAUCUUCUAAAGACCUCCCAUUUGUCUUCCACUCCCUCUCUGCCAUUGCCCUAUUCUAGGCCAUUGUCAUCUCUCACCUAGAUCAUUGCAGGAGUCUCCUAAUUGGUCUCUCUGCCUCCCUUCCACCUCCCUCCCAUCCAUCUUCCACACUAUCUCCUGAAGGAUUUUUGCCAACAUAAAAGUUGCAUUAUGCCUUUUGCUUGCUUCAUUGUUUCCUCAUCCACCAUCGGGUAGCUUGUCACAUGGGACUCUUCACCACCUAGUAAAUGCCCACCUCUCCAAGCUGAUCUGCUGACGCAGAACAACCCCAGCCAUACUGAAAAUACAUUCUGUUCCUCAGACACACUGUAUGGUCUCAGAGUCUGAUUUCACAUGUCGUGUUCUUUUUCUACACUGUGCCCUUACUCACAUGUGAAAUCACAGAAAAACUGCUCAUCCUCCCAGCUUCAAGUCAAACUCUGCCUUUUUACAGAAGCCGUCC
ensembl:lncRNA